rnacentral:rRNA from 1 species
AAACUCACCAGGUCCAGACAUAAGAAGGAUUGACAGAUUGAUAGCGCUUUCAUGAUUUUAUGGGUGGUGGUGCAUGGCCGUUCUUAGUUGGUGGAGUGAUUUGUCUGGUUAAUUCCGAUAACGAACGAGACCUUGACCUGCUAAAUAGACCAGUCGACCUUGUUGUUGGCUGCUGUCUUCUUAGAGGGACUAUCGAUGUCUAAUCGAUGGAAGUUCGAGGCAAUAACAGGUCUGUGAUGCCCUUAGAUGUUCUGGGCCGCACGCGCGCUACACUGACGAAGCCAGCGAGUUAUUAUCCUUGCCUGGAAAGGCCGGGUAACCUUGUGAAACUUCGUCGUGCUGGGGAUAGAGCAUUGUAAUUAUUGCUCUUCAACGAGGAAUUCCUAGUAAGCGCAAGUCAUCAGCUUGCGUUGAUUACGUCCCUGCCCUUUGUACACACCGCCCGUCGCUACUACCGAUUGAAUGGCUUAGUGAGCCCUUGGGAUCAGCAUUAAGGAGCCGGCAACGGCACCUUUAUGUAGAGAACUUGUGCAAACUUGGUCAUUUAGAGGAAGUAAAA